UACCCCUCGCCCCUGUGGGAAACGUAUGUGUGCGCGCGCGCGCAUGUGUGAGAGAGAGAGAGAGCUAAUAGUGCUGGAUAGUGCCGAUCGUCCACACAACGUAGUAGUGAAACGACACCGUUAGUCUUUAUUGUGUUGCAAUCGGCGGGUAAAUGUUGUGAAACGCAGUGAGAAAGGAGCAGUGGAGAGUAGAAGAGGAGAAGAGCACGGUCGCGGCAACAGGAGGAAGAA